rnacentral:rRNA from 1 species
AUUGAACGCUGGCGGCAUGCCUUACACAUGCAAGUCGAACGGUAACAGGUUAAGCUGACGAGUGGCGAACGGGUGAGUAAUACAUCGGAACGUGCCCAGUAGUGGGGGAUAGCCCGGCGAAAGCCGGAUUAAUACCGCAUACGACCUAAGGGUGAAAGGGGGGGAUCGCAAGACCUCUCGCUAUUGGAGCGGCCGAUGUCAGAUUAGCUAGUUGGUGGGGUAAAAGCUCACCAAGGCGACGAUCUGUAGCUGGUCUGAGAGGACGACCAGCCACACUGGGACUGAGACACGGCCCAGACUCCUACGGGAGGCAGCAGUGGGGAAUUUUGGACAAUGGGCGCAAGCCUGAUCCAGCCAUGCCGCGUGCGGGAAGAAGGCCUUCGGGUUGUAAACCGCUUUUGUCGGGGAAGAAAUCCUUUGGGUUAAUACCUCGGGGGGAUGACGGUACCUGAAGAAUAAGCACCGGCUAACUACGUG